rnacentral:rRNA from 1 species
UACGUAGGGUGCGAGCGUUAAUCGGAAUUACUGGGCGUAAAGCGUGCGCAGGCGGCUUUGCAAGACAGAUGUGAAAUCCCCGGGCUCAACCUGGGAACUGCAUUUGUGACUGCAAGGCUAGAGUACGGCAGAGGGGGAUGGAAUUCCGCGUGUAGCAGUGAAAUGUGUAGAUAUGCGGAGGAACACCGAUGGCGAAGGCAAUCCCCUGGGCCUGCACUGACGCUCAUGCACGAAAGCGUGGGGAGCAAACAGG